GAAGAUUACGGAGCAACAUGCUCAGCAAAUCUUCUCCAUCUGGUCAAGUAUAGAUCCAGAUUUGGAUAUAAAGACACUACUGUCAGCAUCCAACAUCCGUGACAAGUGGUUGCCCAUGGCAAGGACAAGAUUCGCACCAGGGACAGUUAGGUCUUAUCUUGGUAAAAUUUUAUUAACCUCUACUGAAAACAAGUUGAUAAAACAUUUCUAAAAGUUGUUGAUUGUACAUUUUUUCUCAAUGUUAUUUCUUAAGGAUCACUUAAGGAUUUUGUUGAUUUUCUGGUUGACACGGGGGAGUUGGAGAGAACGGUAUCCACGGCCCUAACAGAAAAAUUUAAGCGUUGGGCAAGGGCCCUGCAGAUAGAUAUCCAAAAGAGGAGAGUAGAAAAAAGAGCGGAAGAUGAUGUAGAGAGAAAAGAGCCAGAGGACAUAGUAGAAUUUCAGAAGUCUAACAUCUAUACUGAAGCAGUUGAAAUGUUUAAGGAUAUGGAGGAGGAUUAGGGUCAAGGGGACUUACAGGAAGAGAACUUUUUGUUAGUGAGGAAUUUCCUCAUGUUGAAUCUCUUGAUAAAUAAUGGGCAAAGGGUGGAUGCCUUAGUUAACCUUAAAAUCAGGCACAUCAAGAAUGCUGAGGAAAAAGACAAUAGCCAUGUGGCAGUUAUUGCACAUCACAAGACUGGCCAUAUAGCACCCAUUACCCUCGUUUUUUCCGAGGAUCUCUUGACGUUCAUGGAAAUCUACUUGUCCAAGAUCAGACCGUGGUUGUCCGGCUUCAACAGUGAGCUCGAGGAGAAGUCGGUGGUUUUUCUGACGUACCCACCAAAGACAGCCAGCCCCUCUGCUUUGAACCCAUCCUCGGUGAAUAAAGCCAUCAAAUCAACUUGGAAGCCCGCAGAGCAAACAAAGAACAUUUCGGCAACUCAG